rfam:Trachymyrmex cornetzi contig23460, whole genome shotgun sequence.
GCCUCGGUAGUCUAAAGGCUUAGGACGCUCGCACGGAAUGCAAAAGAUCCGGGUUCGACUCUCGGCCAAGGUA